AUAAACAAUGGUUUAACUACAAAUCAUCAUAAGCUGGUGCAAUGGUGCUCUCUAAUUUCAUCCAAAGGAGGAUCAAUGUGUCUCCUCCUGCAAAAGAGAGCAGGGACUUUAUCAAUUAUUCAAAAAAAACAGAAAAAACAAUACAUGUAUAGCAAAUGAGUUCCAUUAGCAGCAAAUAACACACAAAGAAGAAAAUAGAUACUAAAUUGAAGAUACCAAGACAGUCAAUUGGAUAGAUACUUUAUAGAACAAUACAUUUACCAAAUGUAGUCAUAUGCAUAUAAAGUUUAAAGGCGGUUAAUAAAAAAUAAAUAUAAAACAUGAGAAGGAACGACAAAGGCUUUAUAUUUCAUAUCUUGUACAAUUCUUCCUCUAGAGAUUGAAGGAAAACAAAGGAACUCAAUAAAUAAGAAAAUGAAGCUCAACCUGACCAGCAGCAACAUCAACAAUGGCAUGAGCUCUUACACCAGCAACAACCUUUCUAACUAAAGCUUUGGAAUUCUUAUUCAUAUGCAGAAAAUCCUCAAAUACAAUCCUUGCAAAUACACAUUGGACUAACAAAUACCAAACAUGUCAACAUAACAAAUUAGACAAAUAUUUAGAUUGUGGCAAUAAUUAAAGUAAGGGACACCAAUUAAAGUAAACAUUGAAUCAAAGGAAUUAGAAAAACAAUUAUCAUAGCAAAAUAUAUAAACAAUAAUUUAGAAAAUUAAAAAACAUACCUGCUUCAUUUGGAUACUUCUCCAGCCGUGAAAAUUGCAGAAACCCCAUGUAUUUACAUACCUUAAUGAAAGGGCACAUUUAAUUAGUCAUGAAAUUCAAAGCCAAAAAAAAAAACGUAAUAAAAAAUCAUGAAAUCCAAGGCAAGAACAAAAAUAGAAAAUUACGGAGCUCCCCCAAAUUCAUCAAACUAAAGCUAAUACUGUUAAAUGACAUACCUUUUUUCUCAGAUUCGUCAGCAGCAAUCUCUGAUUGCACAUGAAGAAGAAGAAGAAGAAAACAAAAACAAAAAAAAAAACACGAUGUGAGGAAUGAAGAAGCAUCAUCAACGUAAAUUGAAGAAAAAAAAAUAGAAUAGAUCUGGAAUUCAAAAAUAAAUAUGAAUCUGUAAAUCAAAAAACGAAAAAUGGAUCUGAAGUGCAUACCUUCGUUGCAGUCGUGUUCUCUGCUUCAUCAUUCGUUCUCUGAGUUUGUCAAAAGAGAGGGAGAAAUGAAAGAAUCGAAAAAAGAGAGGAAGCUAAAUGAGAGAGGUUUUUGAAUUUCAAAUGAAAGAAUUCCCGGUUUGAUAGUCUUACUUGUGAAUUGUGAAAGUGACCUGACCUAAGAAAGAUACAAAACUCUGCAAUGAAAGGGAUGACUCACGCAAUAAGUGAAACUGUGAGAAGAAGAUGUUGCAUGAUAAGUGAUUGAAACUUUUUGGUUGUGAAAAUGGUUUCAAAUUUCAUAGCCAAAAGAAGAAGAGGAGUUCUGCAUUCUGAAACAGUGAAAACGACUUAUCGAUGCUCUUCCACUGUCCUGUUUUGCCCACAUGCGUUUUUUUGCUUCUUUUCAACAAACCGGACCGGGCUUGGUUGGGCCUUGUUGGACUGGACAUAUGUUUAUGGCCCAGCAAGCUAAGUGAUGAAUGAG
rnacentral:lncRNA from 1 species